rnacentral:rRNA from 1 species
GAUGAACGCUAGCGGCAGGCCUAAUAAAUGCAAGUCGAACGGUGUCUUCGGACAUAGUGGCGCACGGGUGCGUGACACGUAUGCAACCUACCUUACAUUGGGGGAUAGCCUUUCGAAAGGGAGAUUAAUACCGCAUAAGACAGUAGCUGGGCAUCCAGCAGCUGUUAAAGAUUUAUCGAUGUAAGCUGGGCAUGCGUCCAAUUAGCUAGUUGGUGAGGUAACGGCUCACCAAGGCAAUGAUUGGUAGGGGAACUGAGAGGUCAAUCCCCCACACUGGCACUGAGAUACGGGCCAGACUCCGACGGGAAGCAGCAGUAGGGAAUAUGUGUCAAUGGACGCAAGUCUGACCCAGCCAUGCCGCGUGCAGGAUGAAGGCGUUAUGCGUUGUAAACUGCUUUUAUACAGGAAGAAACGACUCUUGCGAGAGGCAUUGACGGUACUGUAUGAAUAAGCACCGGCUAACUCCGUGCCAGCCGCCGCGGUAACAC